rnacentral:lncRNA from 1 species
GUGACCACGUGAGCGCCAUGCCUACCGAGGCUCCGCCAUGUUGCCUAAGGGGGCGUUCCCUCGCCGCUACUCUCCCCCCGCGCUCCGGGCGUGCAGCUGGAGGGGCCGAGGCAGUUUUUGGGCCAUCCUGGACGAGCCCCCACUGAAGAAGAUAAGGACUUUAGCCCUUUCAGGAUAAGAUGUAUCAAACAUGCAGAAGAUCACACUGUGCAGAAUCAUCCGAGAAGGGUCAAGUAGCGGACAAGUGAGGAAGACUCCUGAAGACCACCAGAGGACUCCUGAAGACCACCAGAGA